CCCUUAGAUGUUCUGGGCCGCACGCGCGCUACACUGAUUCAUGCAACAAGUUUUGUCCUUGGCUGAUAGGCCUGGGUAAUCUUUGAACGUGAAUCGUGAUGGGGAUAGAUGAUUGCAAUUAUUCAUCUUCAACGAGGAAUUCCUAGUAAACGCAAGCCAUCAGCUUGCAUUGAUUACGUCCCUGCCCUUUGUACACACCGCCCGUCGCACCUACCGAUUGAAUGGUCCGGUGAAAUCUUCGGAUCUGAGAGAUGUCUGAUUAAUUUCGGACGCCUUUUGGAAAAGUUGCUUAAACCUUACCAUUUAGAGGAAGGUGAAGUCGUAACA
rnacentral:rRNA from 1 species